UAUUUUCCAGAAUUCCUUUACCUGCACUGUCCUGAAUUAGGCUUGGUAUUGAGAAAAACUUGUGUUGAAGCUGGUGGAUGGAAGUGAAGUGACUACCCUCUUCUGCUUGACGAUUGGCACGGAGUCAGGAAUCCUGGAUCAAGCUCUCGGGUGACCCAUGGUGAAGGGGACCAGCUCCAAAUCAGGUCAUCCAAAUCAACGAUGGUGGAGGCUUAGAGGUGAUACACUGACUUCAGGACCAGACCUGCGAGCCACAGACCUUCACAGAGCACUAACUGGCUCCUAUCAUCACUGUUGACCUAAACCUUAAGAAGGAUCUGUACUAUCAUUCAUGGUCGUAUUGCUUCUCUCAUGAAGCCUAAAUGAAACCAUGAGAGGAAGGAGAGCUGAUUCUUUGUGUGUGAUCUCUCUGCCUCUAAGUCACUGCAGUCAUUGUCCUGAGGCAUCAGGAGUCCUUAAUAUUGACUCAACAGAUUGUAUUGGUGUGAGUCAAGAGAAGAUUCAUCACGUGGCAGAAUAUUUUUUAUACACCUCAGGCCAAGUCUCUAAAAACUCAGUAUUGGAAAGUGUCCAUCUCAUUUGAGGAUGUGUAUUCUUUUCUCCUUCCCAAUAUCUUCUCGGUGUC